UGAGUACGAGAUGCUACGGCAUCGAAGCAGUCUAUGUCAUACUUCCAAGAAAAGCUUGCACUGUCAGAAACAGAUAAUGCCUGUACCAUAACCGACACAGGUGGGUAGGUAGAGUAUACUAAGGGGCGCGAGAUAACUCUCUCUAAGGAACUCGGCAAAAUGACUCCGUAACUUCGGGAGAAGGAGUGCCUUAUUUUUAAGGUUGCAAUAACAAGAUCCAAGCAACUGUUUACCAAAAACACAGGUCUCCGCUAAGUCGUAAGACGAUGUAUGGGGGCUGACGCCUGCCCAGUGCCAGAAGGUUAAAGAAGUCGGUUAGCAUUCGCGAAGCUGGUAACUGAAGCCCUGGUGAACGGCGGCCGUAACAAUAACGGUCCUAAGGUAGCGAAAUUCCUUGUCGGGUAAGUUCCGACCCGCACGAAAGGCGUAAUGAUUUGGAUACUGUCUCGGAGAGGGGCUCGGUGAAAUAGACUUGUCUGUGAAGAUGCGGACUACCUGCACCUGGACAGAAAGACCCUAUGAAGCAUUACUGUAACUUGAAAUUGAAAUUGGACUUUAUUUGCGCAGUAUAGGUGGGAGGCGUUGAAAAUAUUCUUGCGGGAAUAUUGGAGCCAUCAGUGAGAUACCACUCUUGUAAUGUUAGAUUUCUAACUUUAUAUCAUUAUCUGGUUAAAGAACAGUUUCAGGCGGGCAGUUUGACUGGGGCGGUCGCCUCCCAAAUGGUAACGGAGGCGCACAAAGGUUUCCUCUGAACGGGUAGAAAUCGUAUCUAGAGUGUAAAGGCAUAAGGAAGCUUGACUGUGAGACCUACAAGUCGAGCAGGGACGAAAGUCGGUCUUAGUGAUCUGACGGUGCUGAGUGGAAAGGCCGUCACUCAACGGAUAAAAGUUACUCUAAGGAUAACAGGCUGAUCUCCCCCAAGAGUUCACAUCGACGGGGAGGUUUGGCACCUCGAUGUCGGCUCAUCGCAUCCUGGGGCGGUAGUACGUCCCAAGGGUUGGGCUGUUCGCCCAUGAAAGCGGUACGCGAGCUGGGUUCAGAACGUCGUGAGACAGUUCGGUCCAUAUCCGGUGUAGGCGUUAGAAUAUUGAGAGGAGCCUUCUUUAGUACGAGAGGACCGAGAAGGACAUACCUCUGGUGUACCAGUUAUCGUGCCAACGGUAAACGCUGGGUAGCUAUGUAUGGAGUGGAUAACCGCUGAAAGCAUCUAAGUGGGAAGCCCACCUCAAGAUAAGUAUUCU
rnacentral:rRNA from 1 species